rnacentral:tRNA from 1 species
GCCGCCGUAGCCCAACUGGUAAGAGCAUCGGGCGCGAGAUCCGAAGGUUGCAGGUUCGGUCCCUGCCGGCGGCA